CCUACGGGCGGCAGCAGUGAGGAAUAUUGGUCAAUGGCCGCAGGGCUGAACCAGCCAAGUCGCGUGAGGGAUGACGGUCCUAUGGAUUGUAAACCUCUUUUGUCAGGGAGCAAAGGGCGCCACGUGUGGCGCUUUGCGAGUACCUGAAGAAAAAGCAUCGGCUAACUCCGUGCCAGCAGCAGCGGUAAUACGGAGGAUGCAAGCGUUAUCCGGAUUUAUUGGGUUUAAAGGGUGCGCAGGCGGAAUGUCAAGUCAGCGGUAAAAUUUCGGGGCUCAACCCCGUCGUGCCGUUGAAACUGGCGUUCUUGAGUGAGCGAGAAGUAUGCGGAAUGCGUGGUGUAGCGGUGAAAUGCAUAGAUAUCACGCAGAACUCCGAUUGCGAAGGCAGCAUACCGGCGCUCAACUGACGCUCAUGCACGAAAGCGUGGGUAUCGAACAGGAUUAGAUACCCCAGUAGUC
rnacentral:rRNA from 1 species